CAGGGUACAAAGUCAAUGUAUACUAACAAUGCCCAUUCUGAAAAGGGAAUGAUUUACGAUAGCAUCAAAAAAGAAUAAAAUAUUUAGGAAAUAACAACCAAAGUGGUAAAAGACAUACAAUGAAAACUAUAGAAUAUUACUGAAAGAAAUUAAUGACAUAAAUAAAUGGAAACAUACCUCACAUUUAUGGAUUGAAAAAAUUGUUACUGUUAAUAUGAUAGUCCUGCCCAAAGCAAUCUCCAGACUCAGUAAAAUUCAUAUAAAAGUCCUGAUGACAGCUAGGCACGGUGGCAUAUGCCUGUAAUCCCAGUGACUCUGCAGGCUGAGGCAGCAGGAUGGCAAGUUCAAAGCCAGCCUCAGCGAUUUAGUGAGACCUUGUCUCAAAAAGAAAAAAAUAGAAAGGGCUGGGUAUGUGGCUCAGUGCUUAAGUGUCACUGAGUUCAAUCCCCAGUACCAAAAUAAAUAAAUAGAAUUUUAAAUUUCUGAUUACAUCUUUUCACAGAAAUAGAAAGUCCAUCCUGAAAUUCAUAUGAAAUCUCAGGGGAAUUCAGAUAGCCAAAGUUAGAAAAAGAACAUACUUCCUUAUUACUGUUACUACAAAGUAACAGUAAUCAAAACAGUGUGAGAUACUAGCAUAAUAACAGACAUAGACCAAUGGAAUAGAGUAGAAAGCCCAGAAAUAAACUGUCACAUAUGGUAAAAAGAAAAAAAAAAAAAAGACUUUUGACAAGAGUGCAAAGACCAAUGGAAUAUGUAGCCUUUAAAAGGAAGGAAAUUAUGUAACAUGUUAACAAGUGGAUGAAUCUUGAGGAUAUUAUGCUAAGUGAAAUAAACCAACCACAAUCUAGGCAUGGUGGCAUACACCUGUAAUCCCUGCUACUCAUGAGGCCGAGGGAGGAAGAACACAAGUUUGAUGCCAGCCUGGGUAACUUAGUAAGACCCUGUCUCAAAAUAAAAAUUUAAAAAGAGCUGAAGGUGUAGGUCAGUAGUAGAGUGCUUGCCUGGUAUUGCCCCAGGACCACCACCAAAAAAAAAAAAAAG
rnacentral:lncRNA from 1 species